rnacentral:rRNA from 1 species
CUGCAAUGUGCAAGAGGUAAGUUUAGCAGAACAUUCUGGAAAGUAUAACCAUAGAGGGUGAUAGUCCCGUAUGCGAAAAACAAACCUUAGCUAGCAGUAUCCUGAGUAGGGCGGGACACGAGGAAUCCUGUCUGAAUCCGGGUCGACCACGAUCCAACCCUAAAUACUAAUACCAGAUCGAUAGUGCACAAGUACCGUGAGGGAAAGGUGAAAAGAACUGAGGUGAUCAGAGUGAAAUAGAACCUGAAACCAUUUGCUUACAAUCAUUCAGAGCCCUAUGUAGCAAUACAGGGUGAUGGACUGCCUUUUGCAUAAUGAGCCUGCGAGUUGUGGUGUCUGGCAAGGUUAAGCAAACGCGAAGCCGUAGCGAAAGCGAGUCUGAAUAGGGCGCUUAGUCAGAUGCUGCAGACCCGAAACGAAGUGAUCUAUCCAUGAGCAAGUUGAAGCUAGUGUAAGAACUAGUGGAGGACUGAACCCAUAGGCGUUGAAAAGCCCCGGGAUGACUUGUGGAUAGGGGUGAAAGGCCAAUCAAACUUCGUGAUAGCUGGUUCUCUCCGAAAUAUAUUUAGGUAUAGCGUUGUGUCGUAAUAUAAGGGGGUAGAGCACUGAAUGGGCUAGGGCAUACACCAAUGUACCAAACCCUAUCAAACUCCGAAUACCUUAUAUGUAAUCACAGCAGUCAGGCGGCGAGUGAUAAAAUCCGUCGUCAAGAGGGAAACAACCCAGACUACCAGCUAAGGUCCCUAAAUCUUACUUAAGUGGAAAACGAUGUGAAGUUACUUAAACAACCAGGAGGUUGGCUUAGAAGCAGCCAUCCUUUAAAGAAAGCGUAAUAGCUCACUGGUCUAGUGAUUUUGCGCGGAAAAUAUAACGGGGCUAAAGUAAGUACCGAAGCUGUAGACUUGCACACAACUUAGAUUAUUUAAGUUUAGAAUAUGAGAAACUAAGUUAUAUGUUUAGUUAUAUUUUUACUGAUUUUUAUAGAGUAAAGAUAGAAAUAAAACUUAGUAAAAUCAGUAAAAAUAUUCUUAGACUAAAGUUAAGUAGUUUAAGUUGUGUGCAAGUGGUAGGAGAGCGUUCUAUUUGCGUCGAAGGUAUACCGGUAAGGAGUGCUGGAGCGAAUAGAAGUGAGCAUGCAGGCAUGAGUAGCGAUAAUUAAUGUGAGAAUCAUUAACGCCGUAAACCCAAGGUUUCCUACGCGAUGCUCGUCAUCGUAGGGUUAGUCGGGUCCUAAGUCGAGUCCGAAAGGGGUAGACGAUGGCAAAUUGGUUAAUAUUCCAAUACCAACAUUAGUGUGCGAUGGAAGGACGCUUAGGGCUAAGGGGGCUAGCGGAUGGAAGUGCUAGUCUAAGGUCGUAGGAGGUUAUACAGGCAAAUCCGUAUAACAAUACUCCGAGAACUGAAAGGCUUUUUGAAGUCUUCGGAUGGAUAGAAGAACCCCUGAUGCCGUCGAGCCAAGAAAAGUUUCUAAGUUUAGCUAAUGUUGCCCGUACCGUAAACCGACACAGGUGGGUGGGAUGAGUAUUCUAAGGCGCGUGGAAGAACUCUCUUUAAGGAACUCUGCAAAAUAGCACCGUAUCUUCGGUAUAAGGUGUGGUUCGCUUCGUAUUAGGAUUUACUCCGAAAGCGAAGAAACUUACAACAAAGAGUCCCUCCCGACUGUUUACCAAAAACACAGCACUCUGCUAACUCGUAAGAGGAUGUAUAGGGUGUGACGCCUGCCCGGUGCUCGAAGGUUAAUUGAUGGGGUUAGCAUUAGCGAAGCUCUUGAUCGAAGCCCGAGUAAACGGCGGCCGUAACUAUAACGGUCCUAAGGUAGCGAAAUUCCUUGUCGGUUAAAUACCGACCUGCAUGAAUGGCGUAACGAGAUGGGAGCUGUCUCAAAGAGGGAUCCAGUGAAAUUGUAGUGGAGGUGAAAAUUCCUCCUACCCGCGGCAAGACGGAAAGACCCCGUGGACCUUUACUACAGCUUGACACUGCUACUUGGAUAAGAAUGUGCAGGAUAGGUGGGAGGCUUUGAGUAUAUGACGCCAGUUGUAUAUGAGCCAUUGUUGAGAUACCACUCUUUCUUAUUUGGGUAGCUAACCAGCUUGAGUUAUCCUCAAGUGGGACAAUGUCUGGUGGGUAGUUUGACUGGGGCGGUCGCCUCCCAAAUAAUAACGGAGGCUUACAAAGGUUGGCUCAGAACGGUUGGAAAUCGUUCGUAGAGUAUAAAGGUAUAAGCCAGCUUAACUGCAAGACAUACAAGUCAAGCAGAGACGAAAGUCGGUCUUAGUGAUCCGGUGGUUCUGUGUGGAAGGGCCAUCGCUCAAAGGAUAAAAGGUACCCCGGGGAUAACAGGCUGAUCUCCCCCAAGAGCUCACAUCGACGGGGAGGUUUGGCACCUCGAUGUCGGCUCAUCGCAUCCUGGGGCUGGAGCAGGUCCCAAGGGUAUGGCUGUUCGCCAUUUAAAGCGGUACGCGAGCUGGGUUCAGAACGUCGUGAGACAGUUCGGUCCCUAUCUGCCGUGGGCGUAAGAAGAUUGAAGAGAUUUGACCCUAGUACGAGAGGACCGGGUUGAACAAACCACUGGUGUAGCUGUUGUUCUGCCAAGAGCAUCGCAGCGUAGCUAAGUUUGGAAAGGAUAAACGCUGAAAGCAUCUAAGCGUGAAGCCAACUCUAAGAUGAAUCUUCUCUAAGCUCUCUAGAAGACUACUAGUUUGAUAGGCUGGGUGUGUAAUGGAUGAAAGUCCUUUAGCUGACCAGUACUAAUAGAGCGUUUGGCUUAUCUUUAAUAAAGCAU